ensembl:lncRNA
GGUGCUGUAAGCUUUUCUGUCUCUGCCUCCCAGCGCGCCCCUGCUGGCCGCAGCAGUCAGCACAAUUCAGCCAGUUAAACUUGGAACACUCUUUUGUGUUUAUUUUUUUCUUUCUUUCUUUCUGCCUAUCUGUUAGUCUGUCUGUGUGUCUGUGUGUCUGCCUGCCUGUCUGUCUGCACGUCCCGAGCCACGUGAGCUUUAUGAGGCCGACUUUGUCAGGCAGUAAUUGCUUACGGCCAUACCACACUGAGCACGCCCGAUCUCGUCCGAUCUCGGAAGCUAAGCAGUGUCGGGCCUGGUUAGUACUUGGAUGGGAGACCGCCUGGGAAUACCAGGUGCUGUAAGCUUUUCUGUCUCUGCCUCCCAGCGCGCCCCUGCUGGCCGCAGCAGUCAGCACAAUUCAGCCAGUUAAACUUGGAACACUCUUUUGUGUUUUUUUUUUUCUUUCUUUCUUUCUGCCUGUCUGUUAGUCUGUCUGUCUGUCUGUCUGUGUGUCUGUGUGUCUGCCUGCCUGUCUGUCUGCACGUCCCGAGCCACGUGAGCUUUAUGAGGCCGACUUUGUCAGGCAGUAAUUGCUUACGGCCAUACCACACUGAGCACGCCCGAUCUCGUCCGAUCUCGGAAGCUAAGCAUUGUCGGGCCUGGUUAGUACUUGGAUGGGAGACCGCCUGGGAAUACCAGGUGCUGUAAGCUUUUCUGUCUCUGCCUCCCAGUGCGCCCCUGCUGGCCGCAGCAGUCAGCACAAUUCAGCCAGUUAAACUUGGAACACUCUUUUGUGUUUUUUCUUUUCUUUCUUUCUUUCUGCCUAUCUGUUAGUCUGUCUGUGUGUCUGUGUGUCUGUGUGUCUGCCUGCCUGUCUGUCUGCACGUCCCGAGCCACGUGAGCUUCAUGAGGCCGACUUUGUCAGGCAGUAAUUGCUUACGGCCAUACCACACUGAGCACGCCCGAUCUUGUCCGAUCUCGGAAGCUAAGCAGUGUCGGGCCUGGUUAGUACUUGGAUGGGAGACCGCCUGGGAAUGGCUCAUGACCCCCCCAAGUACAUAUUGCUCAACACUGGGAUCGAUCGAAAAUGAUCAAAACGGAUGGUUCCAUCUGGUGGUCAGUGUUAUUUACAGAAAUUGUCAUGUACAAGGCCUGGUUUAUUGAAAUAUACUAGUCUGCUGAAUGUUUUGUUUAUUAUUUUCAUAGUUACAUUUUUGGGCUGAAUUAAGAAAAGGUGUCAUGUAUCAGUACACUCUCACUUUGUCUGGAAGAUGUGGUGGCCAAUACUAAGUCUUAAA